UGGAGAUAGGGAAAACAAUUGGAAGAACAUCUAUGUUGCUUUUUAUCAGAAAUGUCCUUGGUCAGGACCAUUUCUGGUUUUCUCCAAACACUGUGUAUGUGUUGCAUGCAGUAACUGAAGUGGUAGUGAUGAUUUCAGUACCUCAACUGCCUGCCUGUGUAGCUCUUUGGAAACAGGAGAAGGAAAUAAAUCAACAAAUUUCUCUGCAGAGUGGAAGAUGAUGAUGUAAGCAGAGGGAGUUUUCAGCUGCAGAAAGAACAAUGGUGGAAACUUAUGGUUUUGUACUACAGCAGCUCCUUUCCACUAUCAGACAGGAAUCUAUGACCACAGGCAAUUCAAACAGGGAUACUAACAAAAUAGUGAGGAGCAACAUUGCACAGGCCUUGUCUUAUGGCAUCUGCUCCAGAAACGACUGGAGGAGCAGAGAUCUGUCUAUUGAGUGGACUUAUUGCCCCAGCCUUCUGGGACAUCUGUCAGAGGCCCCUGUUCAGAGAUGUUGGUUAUUGUUUGAAUUGAGUAUUUUAAGCAGUCACUGGUUUUGGGCCAGAGCUCCUUCCGUGGCCUUUCCAACCCUGAUAAGCUUGUCUGAGGUCCCUCAAGUUGCUGCUUAUUUUUUACUGUGGGAAAGAGGAAGAAUAUUCAAAUGAGGUCAUUUUUUGAAGGAUCUUUAAGAACAAGACAUUAAAAAUUGUUAUUAUGCUAUGAAUUAGUGAGGUGGCUACGUAGAUGCUGUUGGCAUAGAAUACAUCUUUGAGCAAAUGGAUCUCAGAUCCAACUCAAGGUUUUUCAUCAAAGCAUGUGAUAUUUGAGUGAGUAUUUCAGAAUAUGAAAAGCAUGUCUUUUUAAAACAGCAUGUGUAAUCAGCCUGAACCUGCUUUACAGCUAGGAUAUUCAAACUAAGAGUACUGCUGGUGUCUGACACUGAUCUAUUAGCUAAUGCUGGUAACAUGCUGGGAACUACCUGUGUUCUGUAACACUGGAAGGCAGUCCAUUAGUGCCUGAAUUAAUGCACUCAGGGACUUUUAAUUCUUCAUGGAAUCUAUUUCCAUAUUUAAUUACGGGAAAGUCAUAGAAAAAAAGUUACAAAGCACCUUCUUCAUCCAUUUCAUUGUCAACGAGAGUGGCGAUUACUAAUUCUUCUUCAAGUUAUAUUGCAGUGUUCACUUAAAAUAAUGCAGCUCCUUGCUGAGUUUGCUCCAAUUAAGCCAUAUUUUAUUUGCUAAUGACUUACCAAGUUGACAGUGACCUUGAAGUUGGUAUUGUCAACACUUCUUGGCAUAAAGCAUUAGGUGAUUUAGAGUUAUUAAGAGUGCAUCAAUUUAUUCUUCAGUCUUUGUCAGUGUUUUUAAAAAGCUUUUUGGUUCCAUUACAGAUAAGAUACUUUACCUGGAUAAUGUACAGGUUAGUAAGUUAAGUAACAAUCAAUUUAUAUUAAUUUUACUGCAGAUUUUAAAAAUAUGGCAGCACUUUUAUUGUCUUUUGAGUUUGAAAAAGAGCAAUCUCUGUGUCAUCUUUAAUUGUUACUAGUCCAAUUUAUUACCAUCUCAUUUCUGUUGGCCUAAGUCACUUUUACAAAUAUUUAUAAAUAUUUAGAUAAUGUCAGUAUCUCAAGUUAUACUCAAUUAUUGUUGAAUUUAACUUACUACAUGUAUUAAAAAUUGUGCAAGUAUAACUGAAAAGAGUAAGAUGUUGAUUUGUCAUGAAUGCUUCUUGGUACUUUAAGACAAAGAUAAAUAAUAAAAUCAUAAUUAGACAGCUCA
rnacentral:lncRNA from 1 species